CCUACGGGUGGCAGCAGUGAGGAAUAUUGGUCAAUGGACGAGAGUCUGAACCAGCCAAGUAGCGUGAAGGAUGACUGCCCUAUGGGUUGUAAACUUCUUUUAUAUGGGAAUAAAAUGUUCCACGUGUGGGAUUUUGUAUGUACCAUAUGAAUAAGGAUAGGCUAACUCCGUGCCAGCAGCCGAGGUAAUACGGAGGAUCCGAGCGUUAUACGGAUUUAUUGGGUUUAAAGGGAGCGUAGGUGGAUUGUUAAGUCAGUUGUGAAAGUUUGGGGCUCAACCGUAAAAUUGCAGUUGAAACUGGCAGUCUUGAGUACAGUAGAGGUGUGCGGAAUUCGUGGUGUAGCGGUGAAAUGCUUAGAUAUCACGAAGAACUCCGAUUGCGAAGGCAGUUCACUGGACUGCAACUGACACUGAGGCUCGAAAGUGUGGGUAUCAAACAGGAUUAGAUACCCGGGUAGUC
rnacentral:rRNA from 1 species